rnacentral:rRNA from 1 species
CCUACGGGAGGCAGCAGUGGGGAAUAUUGGACAAUGGGGGGAACCCUGAUCCAGCCAUGCCGCGUGUGUGAAGAAGGCCCUCGGGUUGUAAAGCACUUUCAGUGAGGAAGAACGCCUGGUGGUUAAUACCCAUCAGGAAAGACAUCACUCACAGAAGAAGCACCGGCUAACUCCGUGACAGCAGCCGCGGUAAUACGGAGGGUGCGAGCGUUAAUCGGAAUUACUGGGCGUAAAGCGCGCGUAGGUGGCUUGAUAAGCCGGUUGUGAAAGCCCCGGGCUCAACCUGGGAACGGCAUCCGGAACUGUCAAGCUAGAGUGCAGGAGAGGAAGGUAGAAUUCCCGGUGUAGCGGUGAAAUGCGUAGAGAUCGGGAGGAAUACCAGUGGCGAAGGCGGCCUUCUGGACUGACACUGACACUGAGGUGCGAAAGCGUGGGUAGCAAACAGGAUUAGAUACCCCGGUAGUC